CCCUACCCACAGAAUCACAUUUUCGGGGCAGUGGGAGGACAAUUCCAGGGCAGUGGCUCCCUGAGCACCCCCUAACAGAGCUGCUGUGAUUCCUGCCCUCCUCGCUCUCCAGAUCYCUGGAAUUCUCUCUUCAGCCAGGAUUUGAGCAUUACCUGGAGGUUCUCGAUGUGAGUCCCAAGCAGGAUGCACCAUGUCUCCCCGGCACCAGCUCUGACGAUGAUGGCCACCCAGACUGUGCCUCCUCCUCCUCCCUACCAAGACACCCCAC